UUGCGCCCUAAGCCCCUAGGCCGAGGGCACGUCUGCCUGGGUGUCACGCAUCGCUGCCCCGCCGCCUCCCCCCUCCCUCGCGGGGGGGCCCGGCGGCGAGGGCGGACAUUGGCCUCCCGUGCGCCCUCCGGCCGCGGUUGGCCCAAAUACGAGUCCUCGGCGACCCGGCAUCGCGGCGAUCGGUGGGAACGUAAAACCUCUCGAGCGCACGCCGCGGGCCCUCCCGAGCGGCCCAAGGACCCUAGAAAAGCUCCGCACGAGCGGCGCUCGCCGAGCGACCCCAGGUCAGGCGGGACUACCCGCUGAGUUUAAGCAUAUCAAUAAGCGGAGGAAAAGAAACUUACCAGGAUUCCCCUAGU
rnacentral:rRNA from 1 species